GCAAAGAAUGGUUACAAUAUUAAUCAAUUAUCUUACUCAGUUUUUGUCAAUAUUGAAUGACUUACCAAAUGUUCAAAUUUGAAGAAAAUGAUCCAGUCCUGGAUCAUUUGUAUCGUAAAAUGGCAUUGCUUUUAAUAAAGCCUCUUAAUAACAAAUUUCUGUGAAUUGCAUUCAAUCUUAUGUAGAACGUCAAAGAAAAAUUUCUUCGUCAUCAUCAAGACGGAAAAAAAAACAAAAAACAGACAACACAAACUGCUCAAAUGUAUAAUUGUGAUGACAAUUUCCGAAGUUUGACUAAAAGUUAAAUAGAAGUGAUGCGGAAUUUAAAAAUAAAAUUAAUUUUAUAGGUUGUAGUGUUUCUUUAUGUAAGAUAAGAUAAUAAAAAAUAUUUCUAUUUGUAUAAAA
rnacentral:lncRNA from 1 species